UUAAGUUCAGCGGGUAUCCCUACCUGAUCCGAGGUCAAAAUAAAAAGAUGCUUAUGGGAGCAAGUCCACCGGACUCGAGACCGCGUUUCUGCUGCGCUCGAAGCCAAUGUACCGGCCGCCAAUGUAUUUGAGGCGAGUCCUAACGCGGGGAGAGGACAGUCACCCAUCACAAGCUGAGCUUGAAGGUUUAAAUGACGCUC
rnacentral:misc_RNA from 1 species